GAGUUUGAUCCUGGCUCAGAACGAACGCUGGCGGCAUGCCUAACACAUGCAAGUCGAACGAGACCCUUCGGGUCUAGUGGCGCACGGGUGCGUAACGCGUGGGAAUCUGCCCUUGGGUUCGGAAUAACAGUUAGAAAUGACUGCUAAUACCGGAUGAUGACUUCGGUCCAAAGAUUUAUCGCCCAGGGAUGAGCCCGCGUAGGAUUAGCUUGUUGGUGAGGUAAAAGCUCACCAAGGCGACGAUCCUUAGCUGGUCUGAGAGGAUGAUCAGCCACACUGGGACUGAGACACGGCCCAGACUCCUACGGGAGGCAGCAGUGGGGAAUAUUGGACAAUGGGCGAAAGCCUGAUCCAGCAAUGCCGCGUGAGUGAUGAAGGCCUUAGGGUUGUAAAGCUCUUUUACCCGGGAUGAUAAUGACAGUACCGGGAGAAUAAGCCCCGGCUAACUCCGUGCCAACAGCCGCCGCCGUAAC
rnacentral:rRNA from 1 species